AGCGAACGCUGGCGGCAGGCUUAACACAUGCAAGUCGAGCGGGCACUUUCGGGUGUCAGCGGCGGACGGGUGAGUAACGCGUGGGAACGUGCCCUCGGGUUCGGAAUAACUCAGGGAAACUUGAGCUAAUACCGGAUACGCCCUUUUGGGGAAAGGCUUGCUGCCGGAGGAUCGGCCCGCGUCUGAUUAGCUAGUUGGUGAGGUAACGGCUCACCAAGGCGACGAUCAGUAGCUGGUCUGAGAGGAUGAUCAGCCACACUGGGACUGAGACACGGCCCAGACUCCUACGGGAGGCAGCAGUGGGGAAUAUUGGACAAUGGGCGCAAGCCUGAUCCAGCCAUGCCGCGUGAGUGAUGAAGGCCUUAGGGUUGUAAAGCUCUUUUAUCCGGGACGAUAAUGACGGUACCGGAGGAAUAAGCCCCGGCUAACUUCGUG
rnacentral:rRNA from 1 species